GGCAAACCUGCAGUUGCAGAGCAAGAACGUUCAUAUACAUUUUUCACAUCAUAAAUUAGUAGGAUAUGAUUUUGGAACAAGAUUGGCAAAGCAAUUUAAACAUAUAAUUGGAACACAUAGAUACGUAAUGCAAAUCCAGAAGAAAUAAAGAAAAUAUCACAUAUACAAAAUGACAAUAACAUUUUCAUUCCUACUGCCAAACCCAGGAAGUUGGUCUGAUCACAAGCAAUUAGGAAAAUCUGAGGUCUAUAUAUAAAUUAUUUUUACAAUGAUUUGCAGUAUCUUUUCAGCAACCUAUAUAUACUUGAGUGACAAUGUUCAAUGACAAAAAACUUUGUUGUUUAAUCCACUACAAACAUCCAAUAAUGAAAGCAAAUAAAACCACCCAAUAAAUGGUUGAUUUCCAUCAUCCUACUACUUAACUACCACGCAUUGGUAGGCUACGGCACCAACCAAUUUUACUGCAGAUUCAACCAUGCAAAGUGAUUAAGAAAUUUUAUUCUAGGCAAAAAACACAUGAUUAAGAAAUGAAAUGACACUGUUAGAUUUGUAGACAACCAAGAAGCUCAGAAUGAAAGAAAUAGGUUGCUGCAGUAGGUAAACCUGUAAAAGUGGAACUGCGAAUUCUCAAGGGAAGCACUCACUUCCCAAACUUGGAUUUUUUCAAGCUAGUAAUAACACUU
rnacentral:misc_RNA from 1 species